rnacentral:lncRNA from 1 species
AUUUAUUAGAGCAAACACGCCCAUCCUUACUUAUUGAUUCCUUUGACUAUAUUUAAAAAGAUAGAUAAUAGGAAGAGUCAAUUUUACUGCGAAAUGUUCAUAAUCUUUCUAGGUGCGAGACACUUCUAAGGUAUUAAUUGAUUCAUAUUUCUUAUUACUCUAGGUCCAAACCAUUAUACUAUUCUCUCCGAGAUGAGUUUGCAUUCUACCGAUUCUGAGUAACCAUGCACCGCGGCGAUGAAAAAUGAAAAGCUGAUUUGGCGUAAAAACACACUCAAACCCAUUGACGAUCUUCCACGUCGUGGCGAAGAAUAUGAAGCUAAGUCUCAGUUUCUCAAGAGGAUCCCUUUUCUCUAGCGUAUUGCAGCAAGGAUCGAAGAAUAGUGCCUGAUUUCACUCAAAUCUAUGAAGAAAAUGAAACAGAAGGCUUAUUCUUAUUAACUUUUUAGCAUUGUUGUCAUCAAUUCUAUUAUUCAAUCCAAGGGAUGCAUAUUAAUUAUGAUAAGCCUUCUUCAUCGAUUAGAAGAUACACAAUAGUGGCCCCGUGGCGAACGUGGAGAAUAAAAUCUAACAAAAGAUCGUGUAACUUCCUCACUCCCGGCAUUAAACAAUAUGUGAUAGAGGGGGUAAUAAUUACACAUAGUGAUCAUGAAUAAUUACUUGUAAACAUUCUUUCAUUUUCCUUCCACUCAACAUUCUUUUUUAUUCUUUGUGAAGAUUUAACUAAAUCUUAAUAAUUUUUUUUUUUUUACUUCAUACAUAAACCUUUUAUAACAAAA